CAGACUUCCAGAAUGCUCCACGGCUUCCGUUAUUCUGGAGCUCACAACCCAACCGUUCCUGUAAGAUGUGAGACCCUGAAGUCUCCCCCAAAACCAGAGGAGGCCAGUCAGUCUGGUGCCAAGCACAUCUGAAUUACUCUUCCUCCUGUACACUUUUCAACCCAAAGGAAGAAAGCUAGUGACUGGAGGCUCGAUCCUGUGAACCCAGGUGUGACUGCUGCCAAGAUUGCCUCACUGUGGACCCAACACCCUUGGGCAGGGGUGUUGAAUGUGGAGGACACAGGAGGAAACUGAACACUUUGAUGAUGCAAACAACCUGGAUCCCCGAGUGACCCCGUGGAGGAGAGGAAAGUUGCCUAAACUGCAUUGAACUUGGCAGGAGCAAGAAAUAAACAUUUGUAGUCAAACCUGACAAAUACUUACAGUUGGAAAGUGUAGAAAGGAGAAUUCACUAGAAAACUCAAGAAAUGACCCAGAAUGGAUCAGCACAAGUAAGACUAGGAUGGAUCUCAGAAUUCCCAGGGCUGUGCCUUGCAUUGUGGUACAAGAUGGGAGCUGGGAGCCAGGGCUCUUUCCCUCAUUAGUUCCAUAAUUCAUUCAUGACAUCACUCACAUGGGUGUUACUGAUGUUGGAGGUUAUAUGGCAGAUUCCUAGUUUAAGUGGUGAAAUUAUUCUUGCUCCUUCGUUUCUAAAUAUGAUUAACAUUUAAACAAGUAGAACUUGAGUAAAGCAGGUUACUCUCUAUAGCCUGGGUGGCCGUCAUGCAAUGAGUUGAAGGCCUCAAGAGAAAAGGCUGAGGCCCCUCAGAGAAGAAAGGAUUCUACUUCCAGAUUGUGUUUGGCCUCAAGACUGAACUGUCAACUGUUCCUUGGGGCUGUAGCCUGCUGGUCUGUCCUGUAGGUUUAGGACUCACUAGGUCUCACAAUUGUGUGAGCCAACACCUUGAAAUAAAUCUCUCUUUUAUAGACAUACAUACAAAUAUCUCU